ensembl:rRNA 5S_rRNA 5S ribosomal RNA
GCCAGUAGCCAUAUCACACUGCAACUCACAACUGGCAACCCACUAAAGCAAAGCAGGUGUGAGCCUGGUCAGUACCUGGAUGGGAGACCUCCUGGGAAAAAUCAAGGUUGCUGCUGGAA